GAUGAACGCUGGCGGCGUGCCUAAUACAUGCCAGUAGAACGCUGAAGGAAGGAGCUUGCUCUUUCCGGAUGAGUUGCGAACGGGUGAGUAACGCGUAGGUAACCUGCCUGGUAGCGGGGGAUAACUAUUGGAAACGAUAGCUAAUACCGCAUAACAGUAGAUGUUGCAUGAUAUCUACUUAAAAGGUGCAAUUGCACCACUACCAGAUGGACCUGCGUUGUAUUAGCUAGUUGGUGAGGUAACGGCUCACCAAGGCGACGAUACAUAGCCGACCUGAGAGGGUGGUCGGCCACACUGGGACUGAGACACGGCCCAGACUCCUACCGGAGGCAGCAGGAGGGAAUCUUCGGCAAUGGACGGAAGGCUGACCGAGCAACGCCGCGUGAGUGAAGAAGGGUUUCGGAUCGUAAAGCUCUGUUGUAAGAGAAGAACGAGUGUGAGAGUGGAAAGUUCACACUGUGACGGUAUCUUAACAGAAAGGGACGGCUAACUACGUG
rnacentral:rRNA from 1 species